rnacentral:rRNA from 1 species
UACGAAGGGGGCUAGCGUUGUUCGGAUUUACUGGGCGUAAAGCGCGUGUAGGCGGGCUGGAAAGUUGGGGGUGAAAUCCCGGAGCUCAACUCCGGAACUGCCUCCAAAACUUCCAGCCUGGACCUAAGUAGAGGCAAGUGGAAUUGCGAGUGUAGAGGUGAAAUUCGUAGAUAUUCGCAGGAACACCAGUGGCGAAGGCGACUUGCUGGACUUAUGGUGACGCUGAGACGCGAAAGCGUGGGGAGCAAAC